UUUUUACAAAAACAUCGCCUUUUGAAAUUUAAGUAUAAAAGGUCCUGCCUGCCCAAUGACCUGUUUUAAUGGCCGCGGUAUAAUGACCGUGCAAAGGUAGCGUAAUCAUUUGUCUCCUAAAUAGGGACCAGUAUGAAUGGCAAGACGAAAGCCUUACUGUCUCUCUAACCCACUCAAUGAAAUUGAUCUUCCCGUGCAGAAGCGGAAAUAAAAAUAUAAGACGAGAAGACCCUGUGGAGCUUUAAACUUAAGUUAACAAUAUAAUGCUUUAACACCUAGUUUUAGGUUGGGGCGACCAUGAGGUACAACAUAACCCUCACGAUAAUAAUAAGAAAGACACUUCAAAUAACUAAUUAUAGCAAAUUGACCCAAUAAUUGAUUAACGAACCAAGUUACCCCAGGGAUAACAGCGCAAUCCGCUCAAAGAGUCCAUAUCGACGAGCAGGUUUACGACCUCGAUGUUGGAUCAGGACCCCCAAAUAACGCAACAGCUAUUAAAGGUUCGUUUGUUCAACGAUUAAAGUCCUACGUGAU
rnacentral:rRNA from 1 species